rnacentral:lncRNA from 1 species
AUGGCACCCAGGUGUCUGGGACCCCCCAUGCUUGGGGGCACCGGUGAUGGGGAGACCCCCGAGCCGGCUGCUGGCUUGGCCUGGGAGGUUGGGGGCCAGGAGAAAUGCMACCCCCAUCCCAUGCACCCCGCACACUUGGGGACGCAUCCCGCCGGCCCCUUCCCUGYGGCAUUUGGGGUCUCCACUUGCUUUUCCCUUGAAAACUGCACCAGACCCCGGCAGGUCCCAAAUACCCCGAGCGCCUGGGGGGCCCAUGGGAACGAGCAGGGACAUGUGCCUGCAGCUGCAGCGCGGGGCCUGGCUGGGGAUGUCCGGCUCAGUGAGGUGCUGGGAGCAGAUGGGUGCUGCCUGGGAAGCAGGUUGGGGACUUUGGGGACAGGGGACUGGAGAUGUGAGCYCCAUGCCAGGGCUCACGCAGGGAUCCCCCUUCCCGGGCAAUUCCCUCAUGUUUCCCCAGGUGCUUUCUCCAGCGGGCACGGGAGGACGGGGCAGUCUGUGGAGGGUGACGUGCCCAGAGCCCUGCCCUGCUCGUCCCCGGCACCCCUAGGUGCCACCCAGGUGACUCCCGGCCACGCCGUGGGUCCUGCCCAUCUCUGGGCGUCACCAGGCUUUGGGCGAUGGCCCUUGACACUCAUCCCUAAUGCUUUUUGUUGCAAGGCUUUAGCAGUGCCAUGUUAUCCCUUAUCCACUCCCCCCGGCAGCAUCGCAGCCCCAGGCUGGCGGCCSUGGGGACAUCUGCCGUGCUCAGGAACUGUCCCUGUCCCUGGCUGGUCCCCUGUCCAGCCUUCCCUGGGCUGCAGGGAUGUGGCACCCCUGACCCUCACCUCCCGCCCUGGGCUGGCCCGGGGACUUGUUCCCAGUGCCCCAUGCAAUGGGGCCAGAUCCUGCCCCCUGCUCCGGGCCAGGGACCGAGGGUGGCAGCUGCCCCGCAUCGAUUCCCCGGGCUUUGUCUGGAGGCUGCGCUGCGGCCUCGAAAAAUCCCAUUUGGCCCCUGUCCCUGCUCCCCCCGGGGGGCUGAAGGUGGCUGGGGACCUCCUGUGUGACAGCCAUGGGGUCACUUCCCAGUGCCCAAGCCCUCGGUGCAGGGAGCAGCAUCCUGCAAGCGAAGCCGCUCUGCGGCAGGGCUGUGUGGCCUCCGGCUUCCCGGGCCCAUCAGGAAGAGACGGGCAYGGAGGCACGGCACCGCCAGGGGCCUCCGGAUGGGCAGGAUGGGGGCGCCGAGACCUGGGCAUGGGGGCKCCUGUCUCUGAGAGGGUGGGGUGCCAGGACACGGAGCUGCCCAAAUGCAGGGACCAGGGAUUGCCGGUGUCCCUGCUGCCUCCCUGCCUGCUYCUGCCGGGCUCGGUGGGCAGAGCUGAAGGUUAA